GUGUCAGCCGCCGCGGUAAUACAGAGGGUGCAAGCGUUGUUCGGAAUUACUGGGCGUAAAGCGCGUGUAGGUGGCGAGAUAAGUCGGGUGUGAAAUCCCUUGGCUUAACCAAGGAAGUGCAUUCGAUACUGUUUCGCUUGAGUAUCGGAGGGGUCGGCGGAAUUCCCGGUGUAGAGGUGAAAUUCGUAGAUAUCGGGAGGAACACCUGUGGCGAAGGCGGCCGACUGGACGAUCACUGACACUGAGACGCGAAAGCGUGGGUAGCAAACAGGAUUAGAUACCCCCGUAGUCC
rnacentral:rRNA from 1 species